rnacentral:lncRNA from 1 species
AGGACAGAGAGGACACAGAGGAGGAAACAGUCAACUCCAUCCAGGGCAUGGGGUAUCCAGAACCACUGCCUGGAGGAGGUGGUGCUUGGCCCUCGAGCUGAAGUGCUUUAUGUUAGCAACAUUUUAAAUGAUUGUUCAGUCUUCCAGAAGCAUAGCAGUGGCUCCGUGGUUCAGAUUGAUCAAGGGUCAAGUAAUAUUUGGGGGCUGGCCUGCAAACCCAAGGACUCCUUAUGUCAUUUCUAUGGGACAUGACAUUCCAUGUUCUAAACAACUGGGAAACAAUCUUUAAAACACAGAAUUCUUUGGAUGCAUACUGACUGUGUUGUGCAGAAAGAGACCAUCGCCUACCUGGACAGUACAUGCUGUGACAUUAUGCAAUCACGAUACACUUGACAUUGGAUGCUUUGAGGUCUGAACAAGUACUUCCCUGUUUGGAACCCUUGCUGGUCUUCAGCUAGCUGCAGUUUGCUGGGGAUGAACAACAGCUGAAAGAACAUCCUUGGUGGAAAUUCUAGCACCCAGGAGCAAUGUGAGAAGGAAGGCUCCCCCAGCCUAUUUGUAGAUUUGUUUAUACUCCCUCUGGUGGCUGAUUCAGACUUGCAUGUUCUGUCCCUCUGGCAUUUGAAGCAGCCACACCCUAUGUGAUUCAAAGAGCCCAGAGUGCUGGGAUCUUGUCCAUGUUCACACGAGCGAACAUACGAAGGUUCAGCUUCUGUUUUGGUUUCAGUUUUAACUAGCUAUUGGUUAUGGUGUAUGGAAAGUCAUGAUUAAAUUAGUAUAUCUUAUUCUUUUUGUGCCUAGCAUACAGCUUGUACAUUUAGCCUUGUAAAACUUCAUAUAAUCAUAGACUUCAUGCUCCUGUUGUAGUUCUAGUUGAGCUCUUUUGAGUUUCAAGAGGUGACAAUUGAGUAAGGUUACUUCAAGAUUACCUCAGUGGGAUAAGGAUACUUGUGACCAGGAAAUGCUCUACAACUAGGCCCUGAGAUGUACAGAGAGUUGGCAAAAGGCUCCAACACCAGUGAGAACAUAGCCCCUACGAAUGGGAGUCUGUGGGACCAACAAAUGCCCAUCUCAGUUCCAUUUCCCUCUUCUUAUGGACUUUCUGAUCAUCUACUAAUCCUUAGCUUACAGCUUCUGCUUGCUCACAUUUCCUUCUCCUUCAUAAUGCUGACUUGCACGGAACCCAUCUUGUCCUAGGUGACUUCUCUCUGAAUAAUGAUCCUUCAGCUUUAGCUCCCUUUGCAAAUGGAUCCAUUCUCUCUUUGAAACAGCCAAAGGCACAGCAACCACCAUGCCUAGAAUGUAUAGUACUCUCCUGAAAGGAAACUUUGGACUCCUAGUUCAUUGUAUGGGAAAAUUUGUACCCCAAGAGCUGAUGAAACUUACCUAAGAUUACAUACAUAACCAAGAAGUGGUGGUGGUAGGAUGAGACCCAAUUUCUCCUGCAGUCUACUGAGGCCGUUUUCACACUAAACUGCGUCAACUCCCAUACAUGGGUGUCUUCUUACCUAUUGUUUAUGGAAUUGAGAGACAGAUGGUCUUCUCUUUUCUGCCUCCUUCUUUCUCCCCACCUCCUGCUUAGGCAUCUAAUAGAGGACCCAUACCAGUGGCAGAGUGCUGUUUAAGAGAAAGGUAUUUAAAAUUAACCUCCUUUAAUGGGAUCUGUUUCUGCUAGAAUUCAUGGCUGGUCUCUGUGCCAGUGAUCCCAAGAUCACUAAAUUCAAACUAAGAUUGACAGCGAAGUGUUGUUGGGCUGUACUACAUUGGCCUAUAAGGCCUGUGCUUGCCCAACUUCCAAGACCAAAGAAAGAGUCCAGAGUCAGCAACAGAGACAUCAAUGGUCUAAUGGAUGGAGGAAGCUUACACAUCUGAAGCGAGGUCUUGGAGUGACACCCCCCCCCCCCGCCACCAUGCAGCUGACAGUGGACAGGACAUGAUGGCAGUCUUCACUCCUAGGGGUGGGGUGGAGUGGGGAGGUUGCCAGUUAUAGGGAGCUCAUUAGUUACCAGGAAACCAGCAGAGGGGUGCACCCCACACUGCCCCUUUGAUAAGCUAUUGCUAGCUAGGGCCUGGGGCAAGUACUUAUGAAGGUCAGUCACAUGAGUAGGGUGUAGGUGAAGCAGGCACUGGUCAGGCAGGGGAUGUUCAGAGAACAAGAGAACAGCCAUCUUGAGUGGCCUGAUCAUACAAGUGUCUUGGUUGCCAAGUAAGAUUCAUUCAGGAAAGGGACAUUAUAAAGUAAACCUCAAAUGAGAAAACUAGAUAAAUGAACUGAAUUCCUAGCUGGUAAGGCCAACUAGAAUGUAGAUAAGUUGUCAAGUGAAAUAUUUCACCCUUUAUCUCUCUUUGGUUGAAGAUAUUAGAACAUCAUUUGGGGGUCAUCCAGAUUUAGUUGUGUUCAAUAGUCUGAGCUUGAAUUUCGACUUAAAGUUCUUCAAGAUUUAUGGUUUUUCCAAGACUCACUUAUUAGAAAAGAAACUCUAAGAAAGUUCUGAUAUAGCUCUCACAUUGACACAUUCAUUCAUAUAGCUGGAAUGCUACAGUUAAUGCAAUGGGAUUCUUAAAUAGGAAAAUGAAGAUAUUCUCAGGUUUACUGUUGGGUUUAGCAGGUUACCAUGACUCAGUGAACCAUCUGUAUGGUCAGUUGUUCAUUCAUUAAACAUUUAUUGAAAGACUCCUAUAAUAUAAGCACUAUGCUAGGGAUAUAAGGGUGAACGAGACACUGUUGCCUACAAGAAACUUAUUGUCUCAUGAAGAAUACAGGUAAGUAAAGAGAAUGACAACACCAGAUAUGAGGAACUUGGACAUAUUAAUGACAAAGGAGGCCAUGCCAAAUCAUCUAGCCCUCCUGUGGUCUCACUGACUUGGCUGUAAUCCCAUCAACACUCUGAUAACACUGUCCAGAUGUCAUGACCUCAUAAACAGAUGACCCUCAUGCCGUAUGUCAAUUUCCCUUGCAAGAGCAUUUCAAUAAUCAUGUUACAUUCUGUUAAACCUCAUCUCUUGAGAUCUGCAAAGUAAGGUGUCCCCGUUGGCAAGAGAAAUGUUCUCUUGUGAAACCUGAGGUCAUUCCCAGAGCAGAUACCCCAGAAGGAUGAGUCCUUAGACAGGGACCCAGAACUUCAGGAGGAGCCACCUAUGGGAGAAAGCUCAGCAUCUCCCUUGCUUCAAGCUUAGAAGCUUAGAAGGAUGUCUGAGGUGUGAUGCUGGGAAGUGGGAUUUGGAAGUUACGAAAAUGCAAGAAAUCCAAAAUAAGAGCAACGCAAGAAAGAUUUCUUUUCCCUGGAUCUCCCAUGGAUGGGAAAAGACAAGUGAGCCUCAGAAAGCAGCAUGUGCUUUGCAGACCAGAUUGUGCAGCUUCAUGGUCCUGGUUGCUUAAAGCCCCUGGACCAGCCUCCAGCCCAGCACUCAUCCAACGCUAGUCAGGUAGUUAAAGACCUGACAUUGUCUCUGUGAGGAUGCGGGUUCGAUCCCUGGCCUUACUCAGUGGGUUAAGGAUCUGGCAUUGCCGUGAGCUGUGGUGUAGGUCACAGAGGCAGCUUGGGUCCUGUGUUGCUGUGGCUGUGGUGUAGGCUGUCAGCUGCAGCUCCAAUUUGACCCCUAGCCUGGGAACUUCCAUUGCUGCAGGUGCGGCC